rnacentral:rRNA from 1 species
UACAGAGGUCUCAAGCGCUGUUCGGAUUCAUUGGGCGUAAAGGGCGCGUAGGCGGUCAGCACAAGUCAGUUGUGAAAUCUCCGAGCUUAACUCGGAAAGGUCAACUGAAACUGUGCGACUAGAGUGCGGAAGGGGCAACUGGAAUUCUUGGUGUAGCGGUGAAAUGCGUAGAUAUCAAGAGGAACACCUGCGGCGAAGGCGGGUCUCUGGGCCGUAACUGACGCUGAGGAGCGAAAGCGUGGGGAGCGAACAGG